rnacentral:rRNA from 1 species
ACGGGAGGCAGCAGUGAGGAAUAUUGGUCAAUGGAGGCAACUCUGAACCAGCCAUCUCGCGUGAAGGAAUACGGCCCUACGGGUCUUAAACUUCUUUUAUAGGGGGAUAAAGUGAGAUAUGUAUAUCUUUUUGUAGGUACCCUAUGAAUAAGCAUCGGCUAACUCCGUGCCAGCAGCCGCGGUAAUACGGAGGAUGCGAGCGUUAUCCGGAUUUAUUGGGUUUAAAGGGUGCGCAGGCGGCACGUUAAGUCAGCGGUGAAAUGUCGGGGCUCAACCCGGGCACUGCCGUUGAAACUGGCGAGCUUGAGUACGGAUGAAGUCGGCGGAAUGUGAUGUGUAGCGGUGAAAUGCAUAGAUAUCGCACAGAACGCCGAUCGCGGAGGCAGGUCACCAAGCCGCAACUGACGCUGAGGCACGAAAGCGCGGGGAUCGAACAGGAUUAGAUACCCUGGUA